UACGUAGGGGGCAAGCGUUGUCCGGAUUUACUGGGCGUAAAGAGCGUGUAGGCGGCCCGGUAAGUCCGCUGUAAAAGUCAAAGGCUCAACCCUUUGAAUGUCAGUGGAUACUGCCGGGCUAGAGUCCGGAAGAGGCGAGUGGAACUCCUGGUGUAGCGGUGGAAUGCGCAGAUAUCAGGAAGAACACCAACGGCGAAGGCAGCUCGCUGGGACGGUACUGACGCUGGAGACGCGAAAAGCGUGGGGAGCGAAACAGG
rnacentral:rRNA from 1 species